rnacentral:rRNA from 1 species
GAUGAACGCUAGCGGCAGGCUUAACACAUGCAAGUCGAGGGGUAUAGGUUUUCGGACCUAGAGACCGGCGCACGGGUGCGUAACGCGUAUGCAAUCUACCUUUCACAGAGGGAUAGCCCAGAGAAAUUUGGAUUAAUACAUCAUAGUAUAGCAGUUUCGCAUGAAACCACUAUUAAAGUAUCAACGGUGAAAGAUGAGCAUGCGUCCCAUUAGCUAGAUGGUAAGGUAACGGCUUACCAUGGCUACGAUGGGUAGGGGUCCUGAGAGGGAGAUCCCCCACACUGGUACUGAGACACGGACCAGACUCCUACGGGAGGCAGCAGUGAGGAAUAUUGGUCAAUGGACGCAAGUCUGAACCAGCCAUGCCGCGUGCAGGAUGACGGUCCUAUGGAUUGUAAACUGCUUUUGUACGAGAAGAAACAACAUUACGUGUAAUGUCUUGACGGUAUCGUAAGAAUAAGGAUCGACUAACUCCGUGCCAGCAGCCGCCGUAACAC